rnacentral:rRNA from 1 species
UGAGGAAUUUUGCGCAAUGGCCGCAAGGCUGACGCAGCAACGCCGCGUUAGUGAGGAAGGUUUUCGGACCGUAAAGCUCUGUCGAGCGGGAAGAAAUGUAUCGUGGCUAAUAUCCAUGAUACUUGACGGUACCGCUAAAGGAAGCACCGGCUAACUCCGUGCCAGCAGCCGCGGUAAUACGGGGGGUGCAAGCGUUGUUCGGAAUUAUUGGGCGUAAAGAGCGUGUAGGCGGCUGAAUAAGUCAGAUGUGAAAUCCCUGGGCUUAACUCAGGAAGUGCAUUUGAAACUAUUCAGCUCGAGUAGGGGAGAGGAAAGUGGAAUUCCUGGUGUAGAGGUGAAAUUCGUAGAUAUCAGGAGGAACACCGGUGGCGAAGGCGACUUUCUGGCCCUAUACUGACGCUGAGACGCGAGAGCGUGGGUAGCAAACA